ensembl:lncRNA
GUGGUGGAGCCAGGACCCACUCCUUCCCAGACCUCGUUUAAGGGUUGGCAAUAGAGACAAAGGUAUCUUGGUGGAGAUCCUGGCCUGCAUGUGACCUUCUAAGGGUCCUUAGGUCCAGUGUGAUAAUACAAAGCUGCCCUUACUUGGCUUACAACCGACUCUCUCACAUCUUGUGUUGUUACUUAAUCAACCAUAACCAGUAUCAUUGCCCUGGAAGCCAUUUUUCUUUCUCCUUUCGUCCUCUAUCAGCUCAACAGUUUAUGGUUCUGUUAAAGUGGCUGGUCUGGGUCAUAGACUCCCAGUUUCAUCACAACCCAACACAACCAAUCAAUAUAUAUUAAUGGAGGAAUUGCUAUCCAACAGCUGAAGACUUAUGCUAACAAGUGAACAAGAAUAAGGUUUUACUUUGGAGCUACACUUUGUCUUUUGAUCUGGG